rnacentral:rRNA from 1 species
AGAGUUUGAUCCUGGCUCAGAACGAACGCUGGCGGCAGGCCUAACACAUGCAAGUCGAACGAGAACCCACCUUCGGGUGGCAGACAGUGGCGCACGGGUGAGUAACACGUGGGAACGUACCUUUUAGUACGGAACAACCAUUAGAAAUGAUGGCUAAUACCGUAUAGUCCCUCCGGGGUAAAGAUUUAUCGCUAAAAGAUCGGCCCGCGUCCAAUUAGCUAGUUGGUAAGGUAAUGGCUUACCAAGGCGACGAUUGGUAGCUGGUUUGAGAGGAUGACCAGCCACACUGGGACUGAGACACGGCCCAGACUCCUACGGGAGGCAGCAGUGGGGAAUAUUGCGCAAUGGAGGAAACUCUGACGCAGCCAUGCCGCGUGAGUGAAGAAGGCCCUAGGGUUGUAAAGCUCUUUUACCUGUGAUGAUAAUGACAGUAGCAGGAGAAAAAGCUCCGGCUAACUUCGUGCCAGCAGCCGCGGUAAUACGAAGGGAGCGAGCGUUGUUCGGAAUUACUGGGCGUAAAGCGUGCGUAGGCGGUUUAGCAAGUUAGAAGUGAAAGCCCUGGGCUCAACCUAGGAACUGCUUUUAAAACUGCUAAACUAGAAUCUCGGAGGGGAUAGCGGAAUUUCCAGUGUAGAGGUGAAAUUCGUAGAUAUUGGAAGGAACACCAGUGGCGAAGGCGGCUAUCUGGACGAGUAUUGACGCUGAGGCACGAAAGCGUGGGGAGCAAACAGGAUUAGAUACCCUGGUAGUCCACGCCGUAAACGAUGUAAACUAGCCGUUGGGACCUUAGGUUUCAGUGGCGCAGCUAACGCACUAAGUUUACCGCCUGGGGAGUACGGCCGCAAGGUUAAAACUCAAAGGAAUUGACGGGGACCCGCACAAGCGGUGGAGCAUGUGGUUUAAUUCGAUGCAACGCGCAGAACCUUACCAGCCCUUGACAUCCUGAUCGGGAGGAGUAGAGAUACACCUUUUCAUUUAGUUGGAUCAGUGACAGGUGCUGCAUGGCUAUCGUCAGCUCGUGUCGUGAGAUGUUGGGUUAAGUCCCGCAACGAGCGCAACCCCUGUUAUCAGUUGCCAUCAGUUCGGCUGGGCACUCUGAUGAGACUGCCGGUGAUAAGCCGGAGGAAGGCGGGGAUGACGUCAAGUCCUCAUGGCCCUUAUGGGCUGGGCUACACACGUGCUACAAUGGCAGUGACAAUGGGCAGCGACCUCGCGAGAGGAAGCUAAUCUCAAAAAACUGUCUCAGUUCGGAUUGUUCUCUGCAACUCGAGAGCAUGAAGUCGGAAUCGCUAGUAAUCGUGGAUCAGCAUGCCACGGUGAAUACGUUCCCGGGUCUUGUACACACCGCCCGUCAAGUGAUGGGAAUUGGUUUUACCUGAAGCUGGUGCGCUAACCUUAGGGAAGCAGCCAACCACGGUAAGAUCAGUGACUGGCACUAAGUCGUAACAAGGUAACC